rnacentral:rRNA from 1 species
AGAAUCAACGCUGGCGGCGUGCCUAACACAUGCAAGUUGAGCGCUUGAGGGGGGCAACCCCCAAGAGAGCAGCGAACGGGUGAGUAACGCGUGGGUGAUCUUCCUUCGAGUGGGGAACAACAUCGGGAAACUGGUGCUAAUUCCGCAUAACACCUUGGGGCUACGAGCCUCAAGAUCAAAGCCGGGGACCGUAAGGCCUGGCGCUUGAAGAUGAGCCCGCGUCCGAUUAGCUAGUUGGCGGGUAAUGGCCCACAAGGCUUCGAUCGGUA